rnacentral:tRNA from 1 species
CUGUAGCUCAGUUGGAUAGAGCGUUGGCCUCCGACGCCAAAGGUCGCGGGUUCGACUCCUGCCAGG